rnacentral:rRNA from 1 species
AGCGAACAGGAUUAGAUACCCUGGUAGUCCACGCCGUAAACGAUGAGUGCUAGGUGUUAGGGGGUUUCCGCCCCUUAGUGCUGAAGUUAACGCAUUAAGCACUCCGCCUGGGGAGUACGGCCGCAAGGCUGAAACUCAAAAGAAUUGACGGGGACCCGCACAAGCGGUGGAGCAUGUGGUUUAAUUCGAAGCAACGCGAAGAACCUUACCAGGUCUUGACAUCCUUUCGCCCUCCCUAGAGAUAGGGAUUUCCCUUCGGGGACGAAAGUGACAGGUGGUGCAUGGUUGUCGUCAGCUCGUGUCGUGAGAUGUUGGGUUAAGUCCCGCAACGAGCGCAACCCUUGAUCUUAGUUGCCAGCAUUAAGUUGGGCACUCUAAGGUGACUGCCGGUGACAAACCGGAGGAAGGUGGGGAUGACGUCAAAUCAUCAUGCCCCUUAUGACCUGGGCUACACACGUGC